CCUGGCUCAGGACGAACGCUGGCGGCGCGCCUAACACAUGCAAGUCGAACGAGCGAGAGAGAGCUUGCUUUCUCAAGCGAGUGGCGAACGGGUGAGUAACGCGUGAGGAACCUGCCUCAAAGAGGGGGACAACAGUUGGAAACGACUGCUAAUACCGCAUAAGCCCACGGCUCGGCAUCGAGCAGAGGGAAAAGGAGCAAUCCGCUUUGAGAUGGCCUCGCGUCCGAUUAGCUAGUUGGUGAGGUAAUGGCCCACCAAGGCGACGAUCGGUAGCCGGACUGAGAGGUUGAACGGCCACAUUGGGACUGAGACACGGCCCAGACUCCUACGGGAGGCAGCAGUGGGGAAUAUUGCACAAUGGGGGAAACCCUGAUGCAGCGACGCCGCGUGGAGGAAGAAGGUCUUCGGAUUGUAAACUCCUGUUGUUGAGGAAGAUAAUGACGGUACUCAACAAGGAAGUGACGGCUAACUACGUGCCAGCAGCCGCGGUAAAACGUAGGUCACAAGCGUUGUCCGGAAUUACUGGGUGUAAAGGGAGCGCAGGCGGGAAGACAAGUUGGAAGUGAAAUCCAUGGGCUCAACCCAUGAACUGCUUUCAAAACUGUUUUUCUUGAGUAGUGCAGAGGUAGGCGGAAUUCCCGGUGUAGCGGUGGAAUGCGUAGAUAUCGGGAGGAACACCAGUGGCGAAGGCGGCCUACUGGGCACCAACUGACGCUGAGGCUCGAAAGUGUGGGUAGCAAACAGGAUUAGAUACCCUGGUAGUCCACACUGUAAACGAUGAUUACUAGGUGUUGGAGGAUUGACCCCUUCAGUGCCGCAGUUAACACAUAAGUAUCCACCUGGGGAGUACGACGGCAAGGUUGAAACUCAAAGGAAUUGACGGGGGCCCGCACAAGCAGUGGAGUAUGUGGUUUAUUUCGACGCAACGCGAAGAACCUUACCAAGUCUUGACAUCCCUUGACGAUGCUGGAAACAGUAUUUCUCUUCGGAGCAAGGAGACAGGUGGUGCAUGGUUGUCGUCAGCUCGUGUCGUGAGAUGUGGGGUUAAGUCCCGCAACGAGCGCAACCCUUAUGGUCAGUUACUACGCAAGAGGACUCUGGCCAGACUGCUGUUGACAAAACGGAGGAAGGUGGGGAUGACGUCAAAUCAUCAUGCCCUUUAUGACUUGGGCUACACACGUACUACAAUGGCGUUAAACAAAGAGAAGCAAGACCGCGAGGUGGAGCAAAACUCAGAAACAACGUCCCAGUUCGGACUGCAGGCUGCAACUCGCCUGCACGAAGUCGGAAUUGCUAGUAAUCGCAGAUCAGCAUGCUGCGGUGAAUACGUUCCCGGGCCUUGUACACACCGC
rnacentral:rRNA from 1 species